rfam:Gordonia sihwensis NBRC 108236 DNA, contig: GSI01S13.
AUCGGUCCUCGGUAGUGGCCGCCGGAAUCCCCAAGCGAUUCCGGCCGCUUCGAUCGAAGGCCGUC